AACGAACGCUGGCGGCAGGCUUAACACAUGCAAGUCGAACGAGAUGGGGGGUUCGGUCUCCGAUGCUAGGGGUGCACGGGUGAGUAACACGUGGGGAUAUGCCCUUUAGUACGGAAUGAGCAGGGGAUACUUUGGCUAAUACUGUAUCCGCCCUUCGGGGGAAAGAUUUAUGGCUCAGGGAAUAUCCCGCGUCUGGUUAGGUAGUUGGUUAGGUAAUGGCUCACCAAGUGGACGGUCAGUAGCUGGUCUGAGAGGAUGAUCAGCCACACUGGGACUGAGACACGGCCCAGACUCCUACGGGAGGCAGCAGUGGGGAAUAUUGGACAAUGGGGGCAAGCCUGAUCCAGCCAUGCCGCGUGAGUGAAGAAGGCCUUCGGGUUGUAAAGCUCUUUCGACAGGGACGAUGAUGACGGUACCCUUAUAAGAAGCCCCGGCAAACUUCGUG
rnacentral:rRNA from 1 species